CGCGUUCCAGUCGCUUCAGCUGCUUAGUAGAUAAAAACUCUGCACCACUCUCCUCUUCGACGGAAGAGAAAUGCACUGACUUGCUAAAACAAUUAAUAAGAACGUGGUUGUACUCUAACCAGUUCAUACCCAGAAUCACAUCCAUACCGCUCAAAGGUAGACAAACCAAAUCCAUUUCAAAAUCACGACCAAACAUAGACAAAGGACAUUUCAAACAUACAAGAGAAGUAGUCACCGAACCCUUAGCUGGAGUUUCGACAACCAUCUCUCCAUUCAUAUCAGACAAAUCAAGACUCAAAGCAGAAACACAAUCAUAGGCAAUAAAGCAAUGAGUAGCACCAGUAUCAAUAAUAGCAACUAAAGGAGUAUUAUUAAUAUAGCAAGUACCUCUGAUCAAACGAUCCUCAUUCUCCGUCUGCGUACCAUUCAAAGCAAAGACCCUACCAGUAGUCGGCACCCUCUUAGGCUGAGUACACUGUGAACUAAUGUGACCCUCUCCAUUGCAGUUAAAACACACAAUGUCCGUACGCUUGCAUUCAGCUACAAUAUGACCUUUCUUGCGACACCGGACACACUUCUUGAUUUCCUCAGGGCAGACGUUGCUUUUGUGGCCUUUCCCACCACAAUUGAAACACACAAUCUCAGUAGCAUCCUUCUUCUUAGGCCGCCUAUCAUCGACCAUCUUCAGGGGCACUGUACGGCUUAGGACGACUCUGCUGUCCCUUGCUCUUCCUCUCGUUCACUAUCUUGUAGUGAGCCUUGGUAUCCUCUUCAUAGAUCCUGCAGCUAUUGACCAAAUCCGGAAAAACUCUAAUCUGUUGGUAUCCAAUCGCCCUCUUGAUGUCGGGCCUUCAACCAUUCUCGAACUUGAUGCAUCUCGAGAACUCAACAUUCUCAGCAGUAUAGUGCGGGUAAAACUUCGCCAACUCAACAAACUUGGCAGCAUACUCAGUCACAGACAUGUUUCCUUGCUUCAUCUCAAGGAAUUCAAUCGCCUUCUUCCCACGAACAUCUUCCGGAAAGUAUCUUCUCAGGAACUCUCUCCUGAACACAGCCCAGGUCACAACAGCUCCUUCUUGCCCAUGGGUAGGUAGAAGGCCAACCCACCAGUCAUCAACUUCCUCAGCUAGCUGAUGAGUAUCAAACUGCACUUUCUGAUCCUCAGUGCACUACAUAACACGGAAAAUCCUCUCAAUCUCUUUAAGCCACGUCUGGGCUCCAUCAGGGUCAUAUCUUCCUUUGAAAGUUGGAGGGUUCUUCUUCAUGAAAGUCUCCAACAUCCUAUUCUCAGCAUUCGCACCAGCAUUUGCGUUAGGUUGUUGUCCCACAGCUUAGGCAACAGCUUGUAGUGCAGCAGCUAACGCAUCAUCGUUUCUUCCAGCCAUUCCUGAUAUUCUUCAAAAGUAGCAACAACAACAUAAGAUAGUAAUAUAAAUAUUACUAAGACUCGACACGACUCUUCUAAUUGACCGGACGGACCAACCUGCUCUGAUACCAAUUGUAACACCCCGUUUUCCCAAUAUAAAAAUUUCUAAACAUUUUAUCAGAGUAUUCAGCAUAAACGGGAUAUCACAUACAAAACAUAGUCCAAAAUUAGUUAAAUAACAAUUUAAAUUUAACAAAUAUUUCAAACGUUGCAGCGGAAUUUAGUUCGUAAUCCAUAAAUCAGUUUGGCACGUAGGCUCCAUCAAAAUAUCUCAAAUGAGUUAAAUCAACUUCACAAAACAUCAUAAUUGUUCAACGUCAUAAAACAUAGGCAUGAUAGUCACGUAAGAGAAUGAAGUAUGCAAAUAACCCCAUCCCAUUACGUAUCAGAGAGACCUAGACGACACAGUGAAGGCAAGGCCACUCACGACGGCAACUGCACACUAAACAUGAUCACCUGCAAGUUACUCAUACGAAUGGCAACGUUUUCAAGCAGAAGGGGUGAGAUUUCAUAACAAAAUAAUGUUAAUCAAAGUAAUUCGAAUCAUAAUUAACAUUAACAUCAUAAUCAUUCUUAAAUAACUUUGCAUAUUCAGAUGACAAGUAUCACGUAUUCACAUAUUCAAUCGUCAUCAACAACAUAGCAUCAUGGACAUGAUAAUGUGACAAUGCUCUUAGACUCCUUAUAUGCAUGUGGUACCAAUCGUCAUCAUAAGUAUUAAUAUACUUUAAUCGUGCAGAGGACAAGGCUCCUAUAAAUCGUGCGGAGGACAAAGCUCCUAAUAAUCGUGGUGAGGACUAAGCUCAAUGAAAUGCUAUGCAUGGACUCUUAUGAACAAAUCACCGUAAUCAACAUAUCAACAUGCAUCCAAUAAUUUGGAGCUAAACGUCAUCAUUUCAUCAUAUAAAUACACUAUGCACUUAGUUAAAUAACAGCAGCAGCAUAAACAAGUCACAUAACAGGAUGAUAUCAUUAUAUCAAUAGCACAUCAAUUGUAUCAUAGUUAAACCUUCAUAUCUUACAUAAUUGCACAAUACAUUAAUCAUACUCAAUUAAAUUUGAACAUAUCUUAAACAGCUUUACAGACUGCAUUAAACGUCAUCAUUAGGUCUCAUUAUCAUAAGGGGGUUCACUCUUGAUCCAAACGUGCGACACAGAUCGCACAAACACUCAAGACACUAAAAGCUGGAAGUGCUCGCGAGGAGUGACUCUCAAAAAUACGUGGUCUCCUUCCUAAAACUCAAGAUCUUUUCUACGUUUAUCGUGAUAACUCUUUUGUCGACUCUGCGACGCUUUCAUUUUCUCUUGAAUCAUCUGAACUUUCUUAGUAGUCUGAAGGUGUGAAAAACACAAGAAGGGGGGUUGAAUUGUGUUUUCUUUUUCUCUCAAAAAAAAAUACUUCUUCUGAUAAAACUUCAGAAGCAGUUUGUGAGUGCUUCUGAUGAAGUGAUCAGAAUCAGAUUGCAGCGGAAAAGAACAGAGCAGAGAAAAGAAAGACAAAGACACAAGCAGUUAUCCUGGUUCCUUCCACAAAUCGGAAGUAGUCCAGUCCCCCUUGCACUUCCAAGGAGAUUUCACUAUAAUCACAAAGAUUACAAAUGCUCAAUACUCUCUAAGUAUGAGACUUCUCAAAAAUGCUCAAGCACACACGCAAGAGUCUUCCAAUGCUCAAGCACUAAGCAAGAGUCUUCUAAUGCUCAAGCACGCAGGCAAGAGGCUUCUGAUCAAACAAAAAUACAAUGAAUUAAGUUUGACUUGAACACUUGAUAUACAAUCAGUGGUGUUCACAAUACAAUACAAUUAAGACUCUAGACUUUUGAAUUUCUAAGAUGUAUCAAAUCAGUGCAGAAAUUCAGUGUGCUUUGUAGAAUCAACUUGACAGAGUUUUGGCGCUUUUGAACUUGUAUAUCUCUAUAUCUUAUCUUCAAGUCUUCACUCCUUUAUAUAGAGGUGUGAAAGAGACGUUGAGAUAAUCAGCACGUCUAAAGAGUCGUUUGAAAUCCUUUGAUCAUCCACCAGUAAUCCUUUGCCUGAUUUGGGUGUAGUCCUUUGAAGAAUAAGCUUCAAAUUCAUUCCCAUCUUGAAGGUACAAAUUCUGCAGGCAUGGCUGUUGUCUUGUCUUGUAGCGUAGACAGAAAGCAGAGUAGUGGAGGUAGUGGUUGUACACUUGUACUUUGUCAACUCUAUUAACGAGAGACAAGUGCUCAGUGCUAUCCAUAUAUCCGUUGAUACCUCCCUUUCAAUUCUUCGUUCUUCUUGGAUAAGACUGAAUUGAGAAUCAGCUACUUUGAAUCUUCCGUUUGUUUAAAGGAUCAAACAUAGCUUCUGGUGAAGAUAUUGCUUCUGAUGAAAACCUUUGCUUCUGAUGACCUUCUGCUUCUGAUGACGUCAUCACUUCAGAAGCACUUCAGCUUCAGGAGCAGUUUUCUUCAGAUGCUUAGAAUUUCUUUUUCUUUCCAUUGUUCUUCCAAGACCUAUUGAAAUAACUUGAGUAGCCUUUGGUCCUGUACACUUGAACAAUUAUUAGUAAUAACCAAUUGACAAUUUUUAAUACCUUGUUAUCAUCAAAACUCAAUAAGGUUCAUUGUGAAACACAUUUUGUUCCAACAUAGUCUGCUGAACAAUCUCCGGUCCUAAGACCACUCUUUCACCUGACUCGAACCAGCACAACGGAGUUCUGCAUCUCCGACCAUAUAAAGCCUCGAAAGGUGCCAUUCCAAUACUAGAAUGAUAACUAUUAUUGUAUGUGAACUCGAUCAACGGAAGAUGACUAUCCCAAGUUCCUCCUUGCUCAAGAACACAAAUCCUCUAGCGACUGAAUUGUCCUCUCCGACUGACCAUCUGUUUGUGGAUGAUACGCCGAACUCAAUCUCAACUUCGAUCCCAAAGCCUCUUGCAAACUUUUCCAAAAUCUAGAAGUAAAUCUUGGAUCUCUAUCUGAUACGAUGCUCGAAGGAACACCAUGCAACUUCACAAUCUCCUUGAUAUAAAUCUCUGCCAACUGGGAAAUAGGGAAACUAAUAUUAAUCGGUAGAAAAUGAGCCGAUUUCGUCAAUCUAUCAACAAUAACCCAAAUUGCGUCGUUCCCUAUAGGAGUAUUCGGCAAACUCGUCACAAAAUCCAUUGAUAUACUAUCACAUUUCCAUUUUGGCACAUCUAAAGGUACCAUCAUUCCGGCAGGUUUCUGAUGCUCGACUUUCGACUUCUGACAAACUAGUCAGGAAUACACAAACUGUGCCACAUCUCGUUUCAAACCAGACCACCAGAAAAUCUUCUUUAAAUCAUGAUACAUCUUCGUAGCUCCCGGAUGGAUACUCAAGCUACUCCUGUGACUCUCUUCAAGAAUCAUCUUCUUAAUCUCUUUAUUGUCUGGAAUACAAAUUCUUCCUCGGAAUCUCACCACACCUUGAUCAUCGAUUUUAAAAUCAUUGUCUUCAGUCCGAUCUCUAGCAACCAACAAGUCCACAAACUUUACAUCAACUUUCUGUGCUUCCUUGAUACUUUUAAGAAAUUCACUAUCAAUCUUCAGCAUACCUAGUUUCACACUCUCAGGUGACCAUUCGCAAACCAAACUCUUAUCUCUGAACUGUUCAAGUAAUUCGAACUCUCUGACCAUCAUAGAAGACAUAUGCAAUGUCUUCCAACUCAAGGCAUCUGCAACAACAUUAGCUUUACCUGGAUGAUAAUUCAAACCAAAGUCAUAAUCUUUCAGCAAUUCUAGCCAUCUACGCUGCCUCAUAUUCAAUUCCUUCUGAUCGAACAAAUACUUCAAACUCUUGUGAUCACUAAACACCUUAAAUCUCGAACCAUACAAGUAAUGUCUCCAUAUCUUCAAUACAAAGACUAUGGCUGCCAACUCAAGAUCAUGCGUAGGAUAAUUCUUCUCAUGAACUCUCAACUGUCUUGAAGCAUAAGCUACCACUUUACCUUCUUGCAUAAGCACACCUCCUAAACCCAACUUGGACGCAUCACAAUACACCACAAAAGGUUCAUCUGACUUCGGUAAAAUCAGCACUGGAGCAGUCGUCAGACGCUUCUUCAAUUCACCAAAACUGUUAUCACAAUGGAUGUCCCACACAAAAGUUUUACCUUUACAAGUCAACUGCGUUAGCGGAAGAGCUAACUUGGAAAACCCUUCAAUAAACCUUCUAUAGUAACCAGCUAAACCCAAUAAGCUUCUAAUCUCUGUAACGGACUUAGGAAUCUCCCAUUGCGAUACUGCUUCAACUUUAGAUGGAUCCACAGCAAUACCAUCACUAGAAAUAACAUGGCCAAGGAAACUCACUUCUCUCAACCAGAACUCACACUUAGACAAUUUGGCAUAAAGUUUCUUCUCUUUCAACACUUGCAAGACAAUCUUCAGAUGCUCAGCAUGUUCUUUUUCAGUCUUGGAGUAAAUCAAAAUAUCAUCGAUGAAUACAACUACGAACCAAUCCAAAAAUGCAUGGAAGAUGUGAUUCAUAUACUCCAUAAACACUCCAGGUGCAUUGGUAACACCAAAAGGCAUAACUUUAUAUUCAUAGUGACCAUAACGCGUUCUGAAAGCCGUCUUCUGCAUAUCCUCAUCUUUUACUUUAAUCUGGUGAUAACCUGACCUCAAAUCAAUCUUGCUGAAAACACGUGCACCCACUAACUGAUCCAUCAAAUCAUCAAUUCUUGGAAGUCGAUACCUAUUCUUGAUAGUUACCUUGUUCAAUUGUCGAUAAUCAAUACAUAACCUCAUACUACCAUCUUUCUUCUUUACUAGCAACACCGGCGCUCCCCAAGGUGAAACACUUGGUCUAACAAAUUUCUUCUCAAGCAAAUCUUCCAACUGUUUCUUCAACUCAGAUAAUUCGGAAGCGGACAUAUGAUAAGGUGCCAUCGACACCGGCUUCGUUCCAGGAACAAGAUCAAUAGAAAACUCGACUUCUCUCUCUGGAGGCACACAGGAAUCUCAUCUGGAAAAACUUCAGGAAAUUCACACACCACUUGUAGCUUAUCUAUCACUACUUGAUUCUCAACAGAUAAAGAAGCCAUCAACGAAAACAUCAAGAUACCAUCGCAUUCCAGUCGCUUCAGCUGCUUAGUAGAUAAAAACUCUGCACCACUCUCCUCUUCGACGGAAGAGAAAUGCACUGACUUGCUAAAACAAUUAAUAAGAACGUGGUUGUACUCUAACCAGUUCAUACCCAGAAUCACAUCCAUACCGCUCAAAGGUAGACAAACCAAAUCCAUUUCAAAAUCACGACCAAACAUAGACAAAG
rnacentral:lncRNA from 1 species